rnacentral:lncRNA from 1 species
GACAGGUUUGCAAUUCUCUCACGAUUCUGUGAGAAAUGUCCUUUGCUUGGCAUGAAGAAACAGUGGGAGCCUAUAUUCAGUGGGCCUGUUGUGAAUCUCAUCAACUAUGGCUGAAAAACACAUUGUGCUUCAUUAGUUGGAAGUUGAUCACAGACCAACACUACCACCACGUUGCGUCUGGACUGCGAGGGACCACCGCCGACGUCACUAAUGACUCAAUCGCAUCCAUCGUUGAUAACAAACAGGGCAGGCAGGGG